rnacentral:rRNA from 1 species
CCUACGGGAGGCAGCAGUGAGGAAUAUUGGUCAAUGGACGAGAGUCUGAACCAGCCAAGUAGCGUGAAGGAUGACUGCCCUAUGGGUUGUAAACUUCUUUUAUAUGGGAAUAAAAUGUUCCACGUGUGGGCUUUUGUAUGUACCUUAUGAAUAAGGAUCGGCUAACUCCGUGCCAGCAGCCGCGGUAAUACGGAGGAUCCGAGCGUUAUCCGGAUUUAUUGGGUUUAAAGGGAGCGUAGGUGGCUUGUUAAGUCAGUUGUGAAAGUUUGCGGCUCAACCGUAACAUUGCAGUUGAGACUGGCAGGCUGGAGGACAGUAGAGGGAGGCGGAAUUCGGGGUGUAGCGGUGAAAUGCUUAGAUAUCACGAAGAACUCCGAUUGCGAAGGCAGCUCACUGGACUGCAACUGACACUGAGGCUCGAAAGUGUGGGUAUCAAACAGGAUUAGAUACCCGUGUAGUC